GUGAACUUAGCUCAGUUGGUAGGAUAUUACAUAUUAUAUGCAGAGGUCAGAGUUCGAAUCUCGGAUACUUCACU
rnacentral:tRNA from 1 species